GGACCCGCACAAGCGGUGGAGCAUGUGGUUUAAUUCGAAGCAACGCGAAGAACCUUACCUAAACUUGACAUCCCGAUGACCGGAGGGUAAUGCCUCUUUUCUGUGCUUGCACAGACAUUGGAGACAGGUGGUGCAUGGUUGUCGUCAGCUCGUGUCGUGAGAUGUUGGGUUAAGUCCCGCAACGAGCGCAACCCUUAUCCUUAGUAGCCAGCAGUAAGAUGGGCACUCUAGGGAGACUGCCAAGGAUAACUUGGAGGAAGGUGGGGAUGACGUCAAAUCAUCAUGCCCCUUAUGUUUAGGGCUACACACGUGCUACAAUGGCUGCUACAAAGGGAAGCAAGCUAGUGAUAGUCAGCAAACCUCAAAAAAGCAGUCCCAGUUCGGAUUGUAGUCUGCAACUCGACUACAUGAAGUUGGAAUCGCUAGUAAUCGCGAAUCAGAAUGUCGCGGUGAAUACGUUCCCGGGUCUU
rnacentral:rRNA from 1 species